AAUUCCUUCCACAGAUUGAGUGAUGUUAUGUAAAACACAGAUAUCUCUGCCUAUAGCAAAAACAUUAUCGCCUGUGGAAACUUUCACUGUCCAUUCUUUAGUAUGUAGCUCUCUGUACUGUGCUUCAGCUUGAAGGCCAUCAGGAACAGGUCCAACAUAAUGUUGCCUUCUUAGACCCUCACGACAACCAAUGCUGCAGAUCUUUUGAACCUCUGAUAACCUUCGUACUACCUGAGCAAGAGGAAAUUCAGGCUUUCUAACACACCUCUUCAGUUUAUGAAGGUAAUUUUCAAAUGGAAAAGCAGAGAUAGUGUCCAAACAACCAUGCACAUCUGCAUCUGCAGACAGGUGGACCAAGGAAUGGACAUUAUACACUAAGGCAUCUCUGCCGUACAGCUCCCCAAAAUGACUAACAAAUGUGGAGAGCAGUGUGUUUGCAUAUGUACUAUACAUAUGGACUAGCUGUGGACUGACAAGGAUGGAAAUACCUGUAGAUAACAACAUAAAGUUGUUAUAUAAAUUACUGUCUAAAUAUGGUUCCAGAACAACAGGGCCUGUAUACAAGAGAAAUUGUCUGAACUCUGUAACUUUCCAACGAUCUAAUUCUCGAAGGGAUCGGGGUUUCCUUGCAAACUCUACUGGUAUAUACCUACGCAUCUGAGUUAGACUUUCUGAAAUCCUGUCAACAAGACUAGAGGACAAACGAAACAUCAGAGGGCCCCUCAGCCAAAUGUUUAGCAAUCGUCGCAUUACACCUAAACAUGCAAGGUGCAUGUAAUCAAGGGGAAACCGAGUUACCAUACCAACAUCUAAAUUAGAAAAUCCAUGAGGUCCUUCAUGGUGAUGAUCCUCAUCAGCUCUCUCUGAAAAUGAUGAGUCAGUCCGUAACAUGUAAUUAUUUAAAGGGUAAGUCAUUCGUCUGUUAAUGUAAACACCUGGCUGGGAACAUUUAUCACAUCCGUGAUAUCCAUUGUGAGCCUUUGUGUUUUUUACAAAUGCCCUAGCAGGUGUAUCACACACAACAGAAACCAGUUCAAGGAACACUUUUUUCCCACUGAAAUCAAAACCUCUCUGUAGCUGUUGUAACUCACAUGUGAAGUCUCGCAAAAAUUCUUCAGCUGGAUAAGGUUUUUUACUGCCACAAAAAAUGCCUAUGACAACAGGUUCCUUCAUUGGAACACUUAACAGAAGUCCUAAAAUAGGCCAAAACUGAAUAUUUGUGCUUUUAAACAGUGGUAACCCAUCAAUAUUAAUCUGCAGCUUGAAUUUAAAGCCAUCAGCAACAUUGCGUAUAUGUUGAGAUAAGGUGUUACGAAGCGCUGCCAAGAUACCUGUAUAAUGAUACAACCCACCACAUUUUUCUUGUAUUUUGUAAUUAAUUUCUGUUUUGAGGACAGUCCUAGCAUCUUUUGGCAGUUCUGGGUGGUACACCCUCAACAGGGUAAGGAGGGCUGUGAGCGCGACCAAAGAAAUACUGAACUGUACAGCCCAAUUGGCUAAGCUGUCCAAAAGGCUCACAUGCUCUUCAUCAGUGUCAUCAUCAGACUCUGAAACCAUUUCUUCUCCCCCCCAUUCUAUGUCUGUGUGAUGGUCAUCUGAAUUGUCAUCCUCCACUUGAGGAGUAACGCUAGAGUCACAAUCAUGGUUGCCAUCGCUGUCAUUGGUGUUGUCACAUGGGUCUGCCCUGUUUUCUACCGCCUGUUCUGUUAAAUGAGAGUCGUCUGCAAUGUCAUGGAGUCGUUUUUCUAAUGCAAAGCGUGCCCUCUGCCUGACUCCGGAGUCUGUUAAUGGAGGUUGCCUCCUUUUCAUCUUCUCUCUAAAAUAGAUUCUGACAGAAAUACAUGUUUUAGGGUCCAUCUGGGGUUUAACCCCAGCCCUCUACUGAUCUUUAUUUAUUUAUUUUCCACUGUAUAUGUGUGUGUAUCAGACAUUUAUCUGAAUAACAACAAAGUUAAUACAAAAACAACUAAACAAGUUAACUUUUUACUCCUUAUACCCAUAAAUAUUGUAACACAUUGUAUGUUUGUGUGUUUGACUCACCUUCCUGUUGUGCUGAAGACGUGAUGUGUGACUCCUUUCUGUUACAGUAUUCCAGAUAAACCUCAAACUGAAAGAACAUUUUUUACAUGAUUAAGAUUAUUAUUGUUUUAACAAAUGAAUACGAUCAGAUAUUAUUUCUCAGAUCAGAAUCAACUAAUUAAAUGCCGUUUCAAAUUAUAUGGUGAAAUAAUAAAAUACAAUGGAAAGUGCAUGAUUUUUGAUUGGCCGAUUGACUCUGAAAACUAGCUAUUCACAAGCGACAACUUGCUUCUGAAUGGUCAUUUCAAGUAAUUGACAGUUGCCGUUGCCAAUGCUCAUCCAUAUCCUGUCUGGCUAAAGAUCCUACUGUACUGUAGGACUGUAGAGCUACAAAUGAGCAACGGACAGCGACGUUGAAGAGAACUGUUCAACAUCGAGUGAGCAGAGCGUUGAAGAUUCUUCCUGGUGAUCUGCUGCCCAUCAUCAACAGUGUUGGGGACUUCUGUGUGCUUCUUCUCACUUCCUGCUAUAACAACCAUUCUCCAUUCCACAAAUAUAGCUGUUGUUUCUACUCAUUUGUCAAUUGUGUACAGCAAUUAAGUGCCAAGAGGGUGUGGGUUUUCAUUCAAACAACCACUAUACCAGCUGAUUUUACAAUUGAAUUGCUGCUCUUUAUUAAACGGGAGCCACAAAGUGAAAUCAGAUGGUGUAGUCGUGCUUGGUUACGUAAAUGUUUUUCAAAGUUAUGUAAAUGUUUUUUUAGCACGGUAGGCAAUUUGGUGACAACCUGGCUGGUGUGUCACUGACUAUCCAAUGUUAUCAAUCCAUAUAGCCUCCCUAUUAUAAUUGCACAUCCUCAUUACAAUUUCCAGAGGGCUUCUCUCAUAAGCUCCGCUAAGGAUAUCCCUCCUGGAAUAUGCACAUUCAUGUUUGUUAGUUCAGACUGUCAAUAAAUCUGCCAUCUUACAAGUUUAAUGCAGUUGACUGGCUUGAUAUUGCACAGGUUUUGCAUCCCUUAUGUAAGAGCCAUUUUCAUUGGUUUAUAUUUCGCAUCAAUUUGCACACACCGCAUCACUCAUGGGAAUGUAAAAAUGUUUGUUGAUGGAGCUUGAUGGACACAUGUACUUGCAUGUUCAAUGGAAGAACAUUGUGAUCAAUAAAGGGCCAUCAAAACACGGA